UUUUUUCGUGUAAAUCAUUCUUGCAGACGGAGGGGGCCGGCGGAUUGGUCCAGCAGGACACCAUGCGAGUCCCUGCAGCUUGCUGCUGGCCUCCACGCUUUCGGGUUUGCGUUCCAGCAGCUGGAACACAACACAGAACCUAUUACCUGCUCCGUCCUGCUGCCACUUCCGGGUGCCGUUAGCCGGGAGCAGUGUGUGCGGCUGCUGGGCUCGAGCUGUGUGUUAGUGGAAACGAUGUGACAGGCACACCUGUUUCCACUGCCAUUUCCUGUGUAGGGGCCGGACAGAGCUGCCAGGGUGGUCAGAGGUGAAGCUGCUUAAUCACCAGCGUAAGACAGUGUGCUGGGAGAUGAGGAUCUGAAGAUGGAAGACGAUCUGAUUGGAUAGUAUGGGGGCAGGUGGAAGGUGUACUGUGCCUUGCUGAACACUGUCUGCAAGUGCAGCAGGAAAAGUCCCAUCCAGGAAGGAGCUGUGAUGGCGGUGCCUUCUUGGAUCCUUGAUCAGCAUGAAAGAGGGAUCCUGCCUGGCAUUCCUGGUCUUUUGUACCUCCCAGGAACCUACACACCCCUUUAAAGUCGGAGACAGAGUCGUGGUGAAGGUGCUCCCCAGGAACAAGAGCCCAGGAGACUUUACCUACGGUCCAGAGACAGAGGUCGUAGCAGUAACCAGAACAGCAGUCCUGACAGAGGAAAGCCCCACCUGGAUCCAUGCAUCCCGAGUGAAAAAGAUUCCUAGACCAGACCUAGAGAGGGAAGCAAGUGAUUCCAGCGAGGUACAAACGGGGGCAGACAGCCCUGACCUCCCACCUAGCGAAGACAGAAGAACAGAGGAGGAUGAGGAACCUGUCCCCUACCUCUAUCCUGGGGACUAUGUUGAUAAUCCUAAUGGUCCUCACUUGCCAAGCUACAGCUGAAGUAGACAUUACACAAAAAUCCGGCACCUACACAUUUUGGUAUAACUCCUCCAAUACUGAGGUUGCCGCCUAUAAAAUAGAUUUCUGUACCAUUGCUCCCUGUCUUAACAAACAUUAU